rnacentral:rRNA from 1 species
UACAGAGGUCCCAAGCGUUGUUCGGAUUCAUUGGGCGUAAAGGGUGCGUAGGUGGCGCUGUAAGUCAGGUGUGAAAUUUCGGGGCUCAACCCCGAAACUGCACUUGAUACUGCGGUGCUUGAGGACUGGAGAGGAGACUGGAAUUUACGGUGUAGCAGUGAAAUGCGUAGAUAUCGUAAGGAAGACCAGUGGCGAAGGCGGGUCUCUGGACAGUUCCUGACACUGAGGAGCGAAAGCGUGGGGAGCGAACAGG